GGUAGCCGGCCUGAGAGGGCGACCGGCCACACUGGGACUGAGACACGGCCCAGACUCCUACGGGAGGCAGCAGUGGGGAAUAUUGGGCAAUGGAGGRAACYCUGACCCAGCGACNCCGCGNGNGGGAUGAAGGCCUUCGGGUUGUAAACCNCUUUCANCARGGAANAAGCNAAAGKGACGGUACNUGCANAARAAGCACCGGCUAACUAUGUGCCAGCAGCCGCGGUAAUACAUAGGGUGCAAGCGUUGUCCGGAAUUAUUGGGCGUAAAGAGCUCGUAGGUGGUUCGUCACGUCGGAUGUGAAAAUCNGGGGCUUAACCCCAGACCUGCAUUCGAUACGGGCRANCUAGAGUGUGGUAGGGGA
rnacentral:rRNA from 1 species